UGGCUUGAGUGGUUUGGUGUGCAAUGCUCUGAUUCCUGUGGCCGGGUGCUGUGAAGUGCAAUCAGGCAACAUGAGCCUAAUAAUUGCCAGUACUGCAUGGACUCUGCCAUUCACCUUGAAGUACAUGUACGGAGCAUAUGUUCAAAACCAUCUCACAGUGUCCCCAAAUAAGAUGAAGCUUUAAGUAAGGGUGGAUUACUACAUGAUGCUCAUACCAACAGCAACAAUAAGGAGCCUGGUAAGUGUACAGCCUUCUGGGUGUCACUGUGACCUUGUGAACCAGAAUUGCUAAGUGUUGAGGCUCUGCUCUCUAGGUUGAAACCUCCUCCCCAGUAGAUUCUCAGAUCUGCUACUUUAGGAACCCCUGAACUGGCAAUAAAACCCCAGCCUCACCAAAUCACCUGGCCACUGGGUGACCAUUUCAAUGGAUCCAAGUUCCAAGUGACAAAGGAAUAGAGGAAAUGAGGCACAUCUGUCAUUCAGUUUGGCUUCUACUUUAAAAGCUCCACCUCUCAAAGAAAAAAAAUAAUAAUAAAUGUCUUCAAUGGCACAUUUUAAAACUCUAUGGUUGUGGAAAAGUAAUGUCACAGAUAGUGAUCAGUUUGAAUAGAUGUCUACACAUCAAGAAAUCCUGGAGUUUUCCAAUAUUAAAGGACAAAUGUCAGGUAGGUAUUCUAUAAAUCCUUACAGUAAAUUACUCUUUAAAUGAAGGUUAAAACAGCAAAGGUAUAAUUAAAUCAAGGAAGAAAGAAGCUCACCUUACUGAAAAUGAGAUUAAUAAAAACCACAAA
rnacentral:sRNA from 1 species